rnacentral:misc_RNA from 1 species
GAUGAAGAACGUAGCGAAAUGCGAUAAGUAAUGUGAAUUGCAGAAUUCAGUGAAUCAUCGAAUCUUUGAACGCACAUUGCGCCCGCCAGUAUUCUGGCGGGCAUGCCUGUUCGAGCGUCAUUUCAACCAUCAAGCCCCCGGCUUGUGUUGGGGACCUGCGGCUGCCGCAGGCCCUGAAAACCAGUGGCGGGCUCGCUAGUCACUCCGAGCGUAGUAAUACAUCUCGCUCAGGGCGUGCAGCGGGUUCCGGCCGUUAAAAAGCCUUAUUUACCCAAGGUUGACCUCGGAUCAGGUAGGAAGACCCGCUGAACUUAAGCAUAUCAAUAAGCGGAGGA